UACGGAGGGUGCAAGCGUUGUCCGGAUUUAUUGGGUUUAAAGGGUGCGUAGGCGGCCCGUUAAGUCAGUGGUGAAAGCCUCCAGCUCAACUGGAGAACUGCCAUUGAUACUGGCGAGCUCGAGGGAGGUAGGGGUUUGCGGAACUUCUGGUGGAGCGGUGAAAUGCGUUGAUAUCGAGAGGAACACCUGCGGCGAAGGCGGGUAGCUGGGCCGACACUGACGCUGAUGCGCGAAAGCCAGGGGAGCGAACGGGG
rnacentral:rRNA from 1 species